rnacentral:rRNA from 1 species
GAUAAACGCUGGCGGCGCACAUAAGACAUGCAAGUCGAACGGAAGUCGUUAUAAAAAGGAUUGAAGAUUUAUCUAAUUGAGAUUUUAUAACAAUGGCUUUAGUGGCGGACUGGUGAGUAACGCGUGAGUAACCUGCCUACUAGAGGGGAAUAACAGUGAGAAAUCAUUGCUAAUACCGCAUAUGCCAUGAACAUCACAUGAUGAAAUGGGAAAGAGUAAUCUGCUAGUAGAUGGGCUCGCGUCUGAUUAGAUAGUUGGUGGGUAACGGCCUACCAAGGCAACGAUUGGUAGCCGGACUGAGAGGUUGAACGGCCACAUUGGGACUGAGACACGGCCCAG